GGAAACGAAAGUGCAAUGAUUGGGGGAAAUACAGGAAGUCAGGGGAUCAAAGAAGCAGACCCCCCUCUGCUCCCACCACCCUGUUAAUGGAAGGCAGAGCUGGAGGGUACCACCAGCAGCUACCCAUGCAGAACUGUGUUGAAGAACAAGGCUGUCACCACCCUGGGGACUUCCAGCCCCACCCAGCCAUUGCUUCUGCGGGAUCAGACUGCAGGGAGCCAGCUCCUCCCAAAAAGAACCCCCAGGAGGGAAGGAUUUCUCCCUUCAGCCACCCACCCCUCAUCCCCCACCGGCAGCCGGAAGCCUAUCCUCUGUCCCUGCGUCUCCAGUUGCUUUGACCCCAUCUGUCCCCGUUAGUUAUCCUACCUCUUUCUAAGAGAUGCCCAGUGAGGGUGGGGCUGGGUGGUGGGUACAGUGCCAUUGCUCUGUCCUGGAGCAUGCAUGUGGCUCUGUGUAGUGUCUCCUUAAGGUGGAAGCUUCUCCCCUCCUGUCAAGCCCUGGUCCCAGCAGCUCCAAGUGCCAGCUGAUGCUGCCCAGGGCAUCUGAGCUGUGUUUCUUACAAUCUGCAGGAAAUGUGGUCCUGCAGCCUCCACCAUUGGGUGAGAGGGAACCAGUAUUGGAGACGAGACUGGGAGAAGGACACAGAUAACAGGGAUGACAAUGGCAGGGCCGGGCUGGGCAAGGGGUGGGGGUGAUCCCCAACCAUUAACCUGAGAAGCUGCCUUUCAUCUUUAGAGAGUUUUCUGAUUGACACUUCAAUUAAACUAUUCCAGGACAAACCACCAA
rnacentral:lncRNA from 1 species